UAUUCCUGUAGUUGAAACAACAAUAACUUUUCACGUUAUAGGUUUAGGUUAGGACCCUAACGGGAAUCA
rnacentral:tRNA from 1 species